AGAACGCAGCGAAAUGCGAUAAGUAAUGUGAAUUGCAGAAUUCAGUGAAUCAUCGAAUCUUUGAACGCACCUUGCGCUCCAUGGUAUUCCGUGGAGCAUGCCUGUUUGAGUGUCAUGAAUACUUCAACCCUCCUCUUUCUUAAUGAUUGAAGAGGUGUUUGGUUUCUGAGCGCUGCUGGCCUUUAGGGUCUAGCUCGUUCGUAAUGCAUUAGCAUCCGCAAUCGAACUUCGGAUUGACUUGGCGUAAUAGACUAUUCGCUGAGGAAUUCUAGUCUUCGGACUAGAGCCGGGUUGGGUUAAAGGAAGCUUCUAAUCAGAAUGUCUACAUUUUAAGAUUAGAUCUCAAAUCAGGUAGGACUACCCGCUGAACUUAAGCAUAUCAAUA
rnacentral:rRNA from 1 species